UACGUAGAGUCCAAGCGUUAUCCGGAAUCACUGGGCGUAAAGCGUGCGUAGGUGGAUUGUUAAGUGCGAUGCGAAAUCCUGUGGCUCAACCAUAUGGACUGUAUCGCAUACUGGCAAUCUAGAGGAUAUGAGAGGCAAGUGGAAUUCCUGGUGUAGCGGUGAAAUGCGCAGAUAUCAGGAGGAACACCGGUGGCGAAGGCGGAUCUCUGGGCCCGAUACUGACGCUGGAGGAGCGAAAGCGUGGGGAGCGAACAGG
rnacentral:rRNA from 1 species